rnacentral:lncRNA from 1 species
UUCUAUAAAUGUUUUGAAACAAGAGAUUAUGCUCCUCUAGGAAAAAGAUGUAUAUGUUUAUUUUCAAUAUAGUACUACUGCCAGUCAUUAAAGUUAUGAGUCCUAGCUGUUUAUAUUUUUACUUUGGUUUACGUCAAAAAAUAUAACCUUGAAUUUGUAAUGACGGAACUCAUGAGGUUAUCCUUAUGAUAAUAUUUGUUCUUUGAAGAUAUCGGUUAAGUCAUUAAUCUUUUUCUGCAUCUGGCCUUUGCGGUGAACACGGUUGUUUGUGACUAUUUUUAUCUAGGUUGUGACCUUUCCGGUUGCUCGAUCUUUUUCCCUGUUAUUUCUAUUUGGUUGCUAUUUCUGCUACUUUGCUUUAUUUUGAUUGAUGUCUACCAAGUGUAUUUUUGGUUUGAAAUCUAAUUUAUUGAUAGAUAUGUUUCCAAGCCUUUAGUUUAGAUAUGAUUAGUACCUAGCUUUUUUUAUGAAGCUGUGCAUAUGCAAUCAGGAAAGAUACCAUGAUUUUUC